rnacentral:lncRNA from 1 species
AUGGAGGCAUGGGAGGGGCAGGAAGGCUCUAGGAGCACUCCAGACUCUACCAAUACUGUCUCUUGUGGCUUAUUACUACAUUUUCUCUGCUGUGUUGACAGGCACCUUGGAGUGACAGGUCUACUUAUGUGUAAUAAGCGUUGCAGUACAUGUGUUGCAUUUCAAAUUAAGAUAAAGAAGAAAAAGGAGCAAGUGACAUACAGGGCAAAGAACUUUCUGGAUUAAUAAACAUUCAGGUAGUGCUGCCAUAUCUAACUUUACAGUUUUACUACAGGAAAACAAGUCCAACAUUAUUAAUUUUGAUCAGCUCUUCAGAUUGCGAUAUCCACCACAAAGCUGUAGAGGGAGAAAAUCCUUUGGGCUAGGCAAAAUAUCACAAGCAUUCAGCACUUUAAGAACUGCCACCACAAAACAG